rnacentral:rRNA from 1 species
AUUGAACGCUGGCGGAAUGCUUUACACAUGCAAGUCGAGCGGCAGCGCGGGGCAACCUGGCGGCGAGCGGCGAACGGGUGAGUAAUGCAUCGGAACAUGUCCAUGUCGUGGGGGAUAGCCCGGCGAAAGCCGGAUUAAUACCGCAUACGCUCGAGAGAGGAAAGCCGGGGACCGCAAGGCCUGGCGCGAUUGGGUUGGCCGAUGUCCGAUUAGCUAGUUGGUGAGGUAAAGGCUUACCAAGGCGAUGAUCGGUAGCUGGUCUGAGAGGAUGAUCAGCCACACUGGGACUGAGACACGGCCCAGACUCCUAUGGGAGGCAGCAGUGGGGAAUUUUGGACAAUGGGGGCAACCCUGAUCCAGCCAUUCCGCGUGAGUGAAGAAGGCCUUCGGGUUGUAAAGCGUCUUUGUCCGGUAGCGAAACGGAAGUAGGUGAAUAUCCACUUCUACUGACGGUACCGGAAGGAAUAAGACACCGGCUAACUACGUGCCAGCAGCCGCGGUAAUC